rnacentral:tRNA from 1 species
GGAGGCGCUUCCGGCCUGGUGACCGGCGCGGUCUUCAAAACCGUUGAACGGCGGACACCGUCGUUGGCGGGUUCGAUUCCCGUUCGCCUCC